UAGUGUAUGUAUAAUUUGUGGUGUUUUUCUGUUCCCUGCAAAUGGGUGCAUUUUUUUCUUGCAGUGAAUCUCAGCAAAAUGGACAAAUGGACACACACAAACACUGACAUCCUUUUUCAUCCCCAGUGAGGCUGCAUGCCUCUUACUUCCUUCUUUUCCAAAAGUAAAGCACUGUAUUCUUUUUUUUAAAGAAUCAGAUCCUUUACAUUUUCCAGUCUUGUCUUAGUGGCUACUUUUAUCAAUGCAGAUUAGAACAAUAUUAAAAUAUUAAAACAAUAUAGCUUUGUUUUGGAAGAGACACUUUUUUUGCAUUUUUACAAGUCUUUCUAACUCGCUCACUUCUUUUCUUCUUUUAAUUUUUGGCUUCUUUAUUUAGCUGGAGUUAACCUUUGCCUGUAACAUUCCCUUUACUGGUCCGCCUGGGUGGUCCAAGUUCCAGACCAACACUGGGGAAGCCAAUUUGGAAGAGGAGAUUAUUCUCUCCUCUGAGCAAGAACAACGUGAAUAAAACAACCUCUAACAGCUUUAAGAAACUGCCUGCUCAUUAUAAAAUGAAGCCUCCAACAAAAAAUUCUCUUCAGAUAUACCCUCCCUGUGUGAAAUGAACAGAUUGGUAUUGAAAACUCGGGUUUAUGGCUUCAUUGGCUGGAUCAAUUCAUCUAGAAUUUCCCCCUUUUCCUUCUGCCUUCCACUUUACAAAGCAGUAUCAACUUUUCCAGUGUGUCACAUCAUCUCAUGAUAUGGCCAAAAUAUGACAGCCUCAGUGUAUUCAUCUUGCCUGCUAGGGAGAUAUGAAUAUUGGGAGAUAUCUCCAUUAAAGAAUUGCAUUUCUUUAGUUACAUUUCUUUAUAUUCCACUUCCCUCUCAAUAUAGAAUCCAAGUGGCUGAUGGAAAUUAAAACGUAAAUGGUUUGAAACUAUACAUAUUUUUUGUGCAGAAUGUUUUAAACUGCAGGCAGAUGUUUAAAUGAGUCAAAAUGAACUUCAGGCAGGAAAAAUAAUCCCUCAAAAUAAUUUCAAAUUCAACUUCAGCUAACAAUUCAGUAGAAACUCAUAUCAAAAUCACUUUAAAACAAAUUUAUGUGAACACAAGAAUGAAACCGGAAACUUUGCAGUGAUAUAAUCAGUAACACCUUAUAGAUUAACAAUAGCAAGAGCUUGGAAAAGGUACUUAUUGUACAACAGUUACCAUAUCCUCAAGAGGUCUUGUUGGCUGGGGAUUCUGGGAGUUACAAGUCAAAAAGCAAUUUCCCAAACUCCAAUGUAGUCAUUUUUUAAUUAAGUUUAAAACAUACAACAGAAAUCAAUGCAUCGGUGUGCAUGCACCCUCUCUGUCAAUUUCGGCACUAGAUGCACUAAUUGUGGGGCCACCUGUGUUGGCUCUGGGUUAACCUUGUUACAAAAAUAUCACAAAAUCAUAUUUUCCAGCUUUGGCUGCUGCUAAUUCGUCCAGCAGCUGCGUUUCCACAUAAAAUUAAAUGAGACUGUUUCUUUGUGCCUCACCAGUCCUCCAAAAUAAUAAUAAUAAAAAUAAGGGGGGGAAAUUUUCACAGCUGAAUGCAUGGAUGUAUUUCAAUGAUCUAGACUUCUACAAAGAAGUGUUGGGUUGAUGGAAUAUUUAGCUUUGCCUUUCUUGAAACUACUGUCUAGCGCAGGAGAUCUAGGCUGCAUCCAAAGUUAUUCUGCAGUAUGAAACUAAUGCUUUUGAGAGACAGAAGGUGCAUCUACAUGGUAGAAUGAAUGCUGUUUCACGCCACACUUUAGUUGGUGUAUGUAGAGAUAUUUCUCCUCCAAAAAAGUAACUUUCUCAAGUUGUCUAGAAGUAUGUGAGGUUAUCCAGAAUGGUGGGGAAUACUUUCAGAUCUGGGAAUUGUCUCUGGGUGCAUCUCCACUGUAGAAUGAAUGCAGUUUUGCACCACUUUAAUGGCUGUGGCACAAUGCUAUGGGUUUGAGAGUUAUAGCUUGGUAAGGCACUCUUUAGCAGAGAAGGUUGAGACCUUGUAAAACGAAUACACCCAUGAUUCCAUAACAUUGAACCAUGGCAGUUAAAAGACUGUCAAACUACACUAAAUAAUAUGGUGAAGGUGCAGCCAGAGUGUCUGUGUAUAAAUAUACAUAUGGGGGACAUCAGCACAAAUCGGAGUCCUAAAUCAGCAUUGUGCGCUGUAGAUCUCUGCCUG